ensembl:lncRNA
GUAGAUUACAGUUUUUCAGCUCACUAGAGAUCCAGAAUCAAAAUCUAAACCAGCUGCUGUUUUGAGGCGGGUGCCUUACUUCAGCUUACUCAAAAGAACACAAGAUGAACGGAGGAAGAACCAGAGAUGCUUGUUUCAGAAUUCAAUUGUUCCAGAAAGAUGUUUCCCCUGAUGCCAUCUGGCUGGCAGAGCAGCUGCCUUUAGAUUCAGAAGUGUCUUUGGGCCGAGAGGAGAACACAAGCACAUAGAUAAGGAUUUACUGCAUACACCCCUUCUUUUGGAGAUGUGGGAGACUUUGUGUGAAAACUCUACUGGUAGAGAUGGAGGACUGCUGUGUUCUCAGUCUUGAAAAAUGUUCCAUUUUUCUUGUAUUCUAACUAUUCUAACUGCAACAUAAUCUAGCACUGAAGUACACCUGAAACAACUUUUUAAUCUCAGGAUGUUGUUGUAGGUUGUUGGGCAAGGAGGCUGAGGCGUCUUGCCAACAGUAAGAGCUGCAUCUUUCUAAAAGCACGUAAAUCUGUGCCUCCCGUCCUAGCAGAACCUGCUGCAAUGUGGCCCAUGCUUUCCCAUGGGAGGAUACCAACCCAACAGAAUAGACCUGCACAAGCUUUCUGGUAUUUUACAUACACGCUGCAGGAUACGGAAUCGUGACAUCAAAGGGUUAAUGUGAAUGAAAACGAUUGCUCUCGUUCUACUUGAACUGAUUACGUUUUGAAUUUUGAUACUGUGAAGCUGCAGAUUUAUCUUGAGGUAAGCCAGCAGAAAGGCACCAUUUUCCUGUAAGCAUCAGCCACUCUGUGCCUUAAAAGAAAUUUGGGACAGAUGUGUGUGUCUUUUUAUUACAAUGAAUGCAGGGAGAAAAUGUAUUUUAUUUCUUAUUUAAUAAAUUUGCCCGUUCAUCUCAGUAUGUGGGACUGUCAAAGUUUAUAAAUUUGGCAGUAUUUUAACAUGAUCAUUCUGUUUUUCUUUAAACCAAAGUUAUUAAAUUGAUAUAUUUUUAUAAAAAGCAGAGCCUGAUGGAAACUUAUUUUUUCAUCUUUUGACAUUUAGACAACUGUUAGGGGGUUUUAAGUAACUCCGUAUCUUAAAUCAGAGCGGCGGAAAGAUAAAAGUGCUCCCAAAGGCUGCUGGAACCCAAUCAGCCAACAGGGACGCAUGGGAUCCUUUAUUGAAGCGUUGGUAAGCAGUGCUUGUUUGCUAUUUUGUUGGGAUUAUUUUUGUGUGUGUGCUAACACAGCUCCACGCUUCCCUUGGAUAAGCAGGAACAGCAAUUUUGCUUUGACUUUUACCAGCCUCAUUCCCACUCCUGCUAAGGCUCUAAACUUACAAUCGCCCUGAAGACCCUUUACUUUGUUUCAGUAGCAGUAAUCUGUUGUCAGCGCGACUCAGGUGAAGGCUGGACCCUGCAGUCCUGCCUCAGGAAAUCUCCCAACUCUUUCUUGAAGAAACUUGUCGUCAAGUUGUAUCAUGAAAAGCUGUUGUGACUGCACAAUAGGUAUUAAACCAAACCCUCAGUGUUUUUUGUUUUCUUUCCAGCCUUUUCAAUUACGAGGAGAACCAUUUAACUUUCUAGUAAACAAAAUUAGGCAUUUUUAUGUGGAAUGAGGGGGAAAAAAGUGAGAGAAAAGGGUUUAUUUAAUUUACAGAAAGAUGCAGACACAGGAAUGGUGGAAUCAAUCCAGAGUGAGGAACUCGUCAACCAGGCUGGAUGGGGCCCUGGGCAUCCUGGUCUAACAUUAGAUAUGGAGGUUGGCGGACCUGCAUGCGGCAGGGGGGUUGGAGCUUCAUGAUCCCUGAGGUCCCAUCCAACUCAAGCCACUCUAUGAUUCUAUGAUGAUUCUAUGGUUGUGCAAGCCAGUGAUUGCUGCUUACUUCUUUGUGUAGUGCUGGGCGUACUUCCUGAAGGGGAAGAAGAGAAGGCAUAGCAUUCAGAAGCUGAAGUAGUACCAAAAUGUAUCAAGAUGUGCAUUUGUUCCAUCCUUGGCUGACAGAGCUAUUUAGUUAUGCCCUCAACUAUGUUGAAUUCUUUGCUCUCCUCUAGGCUAUUAUGGUCCCACACAUAGGAAAGACAACUUACGUUAGGGAAUUACUUAAUGUCUCUUUUUGCGUGACUGGACGCAGUCAGAGCCACGAUUUGAAUAUUUUAAAAUCACAAUUUAGUAAGAAUUUGCCAAAAAGAAGUCUCUCUUCCCAUUUCUUAAGGCUGAACGAGUUGGAGCUCAGAUAAAAAUUUGAAAGGAGCUUCAAUCUGAUGGGCAAGUUCAGUGUUCCAGCAUUUGCUGCAAUCCCCAAACAUCACAUUGUUUGCAAACAUGGAAACAUUCCAUGGAACAAAAUCUUUUCAGGAUUGUUGAUCCAGGGCCCUGGACAUGUUUCUUUGGACACUUCUAAUCCAAGAAGGGUAUUUCACACAGAGGGGAAAGAAAGUUCUCCUUGUGUGAGAUGCUGUCUGGGCAGGUCCCUCACUUCCAGCUGGGCAAAAAGGGAAAUGCAGUUCAGUUCCUGGCGAAGUAACUCAGGCAAAUAAACAUAAAUUAAUGUUAGCUUGGUCCAAAACAAAGCUUCACAGCCAGAUUCCAGUGGUAAGCAUGAGGCUGAACACAUUGCUUUCCACUCAAACUGCACCGCUGCUUGGCAUUGUCC